GAUGAGCGCUGGCGGCGUGCCUAAUACAUGCAAGUCGAGCGAACGGACGAGAAGCUUGCUUUUCUGAUGUUAGCGGCGGACGGGUGAGUAACACGUGGAUAACCUACCUAUAAGACUGGGAUAACUUCGGGAAACCGGAGCUAAUACCGGAUAAUAUUUUGAACCGCAUGGUUCAAAAGUGAAAGACGGUCUUGCUGUCACUUAUAGAUGGAUCCGCGCUGCAUUAGCUAGUUGGUAAGGUAACGGCUUACCAAGGCAACGAUGCAUAGCCGACCUGAGAGGGUGAUCGGCCACACUGGAACUGAGACACGGUCCAGACUCCUACGGGAGGCAGCAGUAGGGAAUCUUCCGCAAUGGGCGAAAGCCUGACGGAGCAACGCCGCGUGAGUGAUGAAGGUCUUCGGAUCGUAAAACUCUGUUAUUAGGGAAGAACAUAUGUGUAAGUAACUGUGCACAUCUUGACGGUACCUAAUCAGAAAGCCACGGCUAACUACGU
rnacentral:rRNA from 1 species